UACGAAGGGGGCUAGCGUUGUUCGGAAUUACUGGGCGUAAAGCGCACGUAGGCGGAUAUUUAAGUCAGGGGUGAAAUCCCAGAGCUCAACUCUGGAACUGCCUUUGAUACUGGGUAUCUGGAGUAUGGAAGAGGUGAGUGGAAUUCCGAGUGUAGAGGUGAAAAUUCGUAGAUAUUCGGAGGAACACCAGUGGCGAAGGCGGCUCACUGGUCCAUUACUGACGCUGAGGUGCGAAAGCGUGGGGAGCAAACAGG
rnacentral:rRNA from 1 species